AUUGAACGCUGGCGGCAGGCCUAACACAUGCAAGUCGAGCGGAGCGGCAGACGGGGGCGUAAUGCCUAGGAAUCUGCCUGGUAGUGGUGGAUAGCGUCCGGAAACGGGCGCUGAUACCGCAUACUAUCAGAUGAGCCUAGGUGGGAUUAGCUAGUGGGUGGGGUAAAGGCCUACCAAGGCGACGAUCCGUAACUGGUCUGAGAGGAUGAGCAGUCACACUGGAACUGAGACACGGUCCAGACUCCUACGGGAGGCAGCAGUGGGGAAUAUUGGACAAUGGGCGAAAGCCUGACCCAGCCAUGCCGCGUGUGUGAAGAAGGUCUUCGGAUUGUAAAGCACUUUAAGUUGGGAGGCGUUACCAACAGAAUAAGCACCGGCUAACUCCGUGCCAGCAGCCGCGGUAAUUC
rnacentral:rRNA from 1 species